CACGUAGGGCGCAAGCGUUGUCCGGAAUUAUUGGGCGUAAAGAGCUCGUAGGCGGUCUGUUGCGUCCGCUGUGAAAACUCGGGGCUUAACCCCGGGCCUGCAUUCGAUACGGGCAGACUAGAGUUCGGUAGGGGAGUCUGGAAUUCCUGGUGUAGCGGUGAAAUGCGCAGAUAUCAGGAGGAACACCGGUGGCGAAGGCGGGACUCUGGGCCGAUACUGACGCUGAGGAGCGAAAGCGUGGGGAGCGAACAGG
rnacentral:rRNA from 1 species